AAUGCAUAUUUUGUCAUCAAAUUUCUGUGUUUGGUUUCGAAGGUAGUUGACUGUAUUGCACUGAUAUUUCAAUCCAUCAUAUCGACAUCGUAGUAUCGGGUAUCUGGUCUGCUCUAACUUCCCCAUCGGUGAUAAUACUAUCACCAUCAACAGAAUGAGUAGGUUCAUAUCUAAAAUAAAAGAAAGAUAUAGAUGUCGUCGUUUAAGAAAGAAAAUUCUAUACUAUUUAUUUAAUAUAAUUUAAAUUUAUUAUAUUCUUAUUUAUACUUAUUGUGUAAUAAACAUGGAUUAGGUUAUAUCCACGGGUCUCUCUGAUCAGACACCCCCGCAUUCUCUUUUCAGUCUAAUAUAGACAUUAAUUUAGUCAAAAUCUUUUCCGCAAGCGAUCCUUCUUGUCCCUUGCUUAUAUUACUCAUCUCGUUUGCUUGAUUCAGGUACUCCUGUGUCGACGGUUCUCCUAUUUCGUUUACUACUACUUGAUUCGCCGGAAAUUCUGAAUCCAGUUUGCCUUCUUCCUUCUAUUUUAUGACAUUUAUUUGCUCUGCUAAUGCCUUAUGUUCAGAACGUUCUUUAAUUAUUCCAUCCGUACGGGUACGUAUCUUCUCUCUUAGAGUAAGGGUUACUCUUCUCCUGUGGCGACUCCACCAUCUGAGAAGUUGUCGGUGUAGCCUUAAUAUUCCCUUGAAGCGACUGCUCCGACUCUUCCAAGGUCGACUGGCCAGGUCGACCUGAAAGGUCAGCCGACAUAUGUAAAUCCCCUCUUCCUUGAGAGGAAUGCGGAGUGUCUAUAAAGUCAGACCACUCCCAGCUCGA
rnacentral:lncRNA from 1 species